AAUUUGCAGUGAUGAUUAAGUUUCAGCUUUAAUGCCAGUUCUGCUUCAGAAAAUUCUUGAUAGAUAGAGCUGUUAUAUAGUCUGAGCCUAUU